rnacentral:rRNA from 1 species
GAUGAACGCUGGCGGCGUGCUUAACACAUGCAAGUCGAACGGAAAGGCCCAAGCUUGCUUGGGUACUCGAGUGGCGAACGGGCGAGUAACACGUGGGUGAUCUGCCCUGCACUUCGGGAUAAGCCUGGGAAACUGGGUCUAAUACCGGAUAGGACGAUGGUUUGGAUGCCAUUGUGGAAAGUUUUUUCGGUGUGGGAUGAGCUCGCGGCCUAUCAGCUUGUUGGUGGGGUAAUGGCCUACCAAGGCGUCGACGGGUAGCCGGCCUGAGAGGGUGUACGGCCACAUUGGGACUGAGAUACGGCCAAGACUCGUACGGGAGGCAGCAGUGGGGAAUAUUGCACAAUGGGCGCAAGCCUGAUGCAGCGACGCCGCGUGGGGGAUGACGGCCUUCGGGUUGUAAACUCCUUUCGCUAGGGACGAAGCGUUUUUGUGACGGUACCUGGAGAAGAAGCACCGGCUAACUACGUG